rnacentral:rRNA from 1 species
AUCUGCUUGUGAAGUUAUAGGCAGUCAAGCCUGCCCGCUUGGUCACUAAAGGUUCGCGGUAUACUGACCGUGGGAAAGUAGCAUAAAUAUUAGUUCUUUAAUUGAGGACUGGAAUGAAAGGUUGGAUGAGAAGUUAACUGUCUCUAAAAUAAACCUUGAAGUUUACUCUUAAGUGAAAAGGCUUAAAUAAGAUAAAGGGAUGAUGAAACCCUAUGAAACUUUACAGGCUAUUCAAAAAAUUACUCAAUUAGAGUGUACUGUAAAUGUAUUUUUAAUGUAACUGUUUUGUUGGGGCGAUAGAAAUAUAAUAUAUUAACUGUUUCUUUGUGUUAAAAUAAUACUAAUUAGGAUACAUGAUCCUUUAAUAAGGAUUAGAAGAUUAACUUACUUUAGGGAUAACAGCAUAACUUCUCUUGAGAGUUCAGAUCGACAGAGUUAGUUGCGACCUCGAUGUUGAAUUAAGAUGUUAACUAGGUGCAGUUUAGGUAGUAGUUCUGUUCAACCUUUAAAAUCUUACAUGAUUUGAGUUCAAACCGGUGUGAG